rnacentral:rRNA from 1 species
GAUGAACGCUGGCGGCGUGCCUAAUACAUGCAAGUCGAGCGAACAGACGAGAAGCUUGCUCCUCUGACGUUAGCGGCUGACGGGUGAGUAACACGUGGAUAACCUACCUAUAAUACUGGGAUAACUUCGGGAAACCGGAGCUAAUACUGGAGAAUAUAUUGAACCGCAUGGUUCAAUAGUGAAAGACGGUUUUGCUGUCACUUAUAGAUGGAUCCGCGCCGCAUUAGCUAGUUGGUAAGGUAACGGCCUACCAAGGCAACGGUGCGGAGCCGACCUGAGAGGGUGAUCAGCCACACUGGAACUGAGACACGGUCCAGACUCCUACGGGAGGCAGCAGUGGGGAAUUUUGCGCAAUGGGCGAAAGCCUGAACGAGCCACGCCGCGUGGGUGAUGAAGGUCUUCGGGUUGUAAAACCCUUUUAUUGGGGAAGAAAAAAUGCAGAAAUAACCCUGGCCGUUCUGACGGUACCCAAAGAAAAAGCCCCGGCUAAAUUCGUG